rnacentral:rRNA from 1 species
GGUGAACGCUGGCGGCGUGCCUAAUACAUGCAAGUCGAGCGAACGGACGAGAAGCUUGCUUUUCUGAUGUUAGCGGCGGACGGGUGAGUAACACGUGGAUAACCUACCUAUAAGACUGGGAUAACUUCGGGAAACCGGAGCUAAUACCGGAUAAUAUUUUGAACCGCAUGGUUCAAAAGUGAAAGGCGGUCUUGCUGUCACUUAUAGAUGGAUCCGCGCUGCAUUAGCUAGUUGGUAAGGUAACGGAUUACCAAGGCAACGAUGCAUAGCCGACCUGAGAGGGUGAUCGGCCACACUGGAACUGAGACAGGCUCCAGACUCCUACGGGAGGCAGCAGUAUGGAAUCUUCCGCAAUGGGCGAAAGCCUGACGGAGCAAAGCCGCGUGAGUGAUGAAGGUCUUCGGAUCGUAAAACUCUGUUAUUAGGAAGGAACAUAUGUGUAAGUAACUGUGCACAUCUUGACGGUACCUAAUCAGAAAGCCACGGCUAACUACGUG